UACGGAGGAUCCGAGCGUUAUCCGGAUUUAUUGGGUUUAAAGGGUGCGCAGGCGGGAGAUUAAGUCGGCGGUGAAAUUUUGCAGCUCAACUGUAAAAGUGCCUUCGAUACUGGUUUCCUUGAGUGUGGAUGAAGUAGGCGGAAUUUGUGGUGUAGCGGUGAAAUGCUUAGAUAUCACGAGGAACUCCGAUUGCGCAGGCAGCUUACUAAACCACUACUGACGCUCAGGCACGAAGGCGUGGGGAUCAAACAGGAUUAGAUACCCUGGUAGUCCACGCAGUAAACGAUGAUUACUGGCUGUUUGCGAUACAAUGUAAGCGGCUGAGCGAAAGCGUUAAGUAAUCCACCUGGGGAGUACGUUCGCAAGAAUGAA
rnacentral:rRNA from 1 species